rnacentral:rRNA from 1 species
GACGAACGCUGGCGGCGUGCUUAACACAUGCAAGUCGAACGGAAAGGCCCCCACCUUGGUGGGGGUGCUCGAGUGGCGAACGGGUGAGUAACACGUGGGUGAUCUGCCCUGUACUUCGGGAUAAGCUUGGGAAACUGGGUCUAAUACCGGAUAGGACCAUGGUUUAGUGUCUCAUGGUGGAAAAAUUAUUGUUUUGGUGCAGGAUGAGCUCGCGGCCUAUCAGCUUGUUGGUGGGGUAAUGGCCUACCAAGGCGUCGACGGGUAGCCGGCCUGAGAGGGUGGACGGCCACAUUGGGACUGGGAUACGGCCCAGACUCCUACGGGAGGCAGCAGUGGGGAAUAUUGCACAAUGGGCGCAAGCCUGAUGCAGCGACGCCGCGUGGGGGAUGACGGCCUUCGGGUUGUAAACUCCUUUCGUUAGGGACGAAGCCACACCUUUUUUGGGUGUGGUGACGGUACCUUUGGUAAGAAGCACCGGCUAACUACGU